UACAGAGGGUGCGAGCGUUAAUCGGAAUUACUGGGCGUAAAGCGCACGUAGGUGGCGACGUAAGUCGGGUGUGAAAGCCCCGGGCUCAACCUGGGAAUUGCAUUCGAGACUGCAUGGCUAGGGUGCGGAAGAGGGAAGCGGAAUUCCGGUGUGAGCGGUGAAAUGCGUAGAUAUCCGGGAAGGAACGCCAGUGGCGAAAGCGGCUUCC
rnacentral:rRNA from 1 species